AUUGAACGCUGGCGGCAGGCCUAACACCUGCAAGUCGAACGAGUGGCGGACGGGUGAGUAAUGUCUGGGAAACUGCCUGAUGGAGGGGGAUAACUACUGGACACGGUAGCUAAUACCGCAUACCAUCGGAUGUGCCCAGAUGGGAUUAGCUAGUAGGUGGGGUAAAGGCUCACCUAGGCGACGCUCCCUAGCUGGUCUGAGAGGAGGACCAGCAACACUGGAACUGAGACACGGUCCAGAAGCCUACGGGAGGCAGCAGUGGGGAAUAUUGCACAAUGGGCGCAAGCCUGAUGCAGCCAUGCCGCGUGUAUGAAGAAGGCCUUCGGGUUGUAAAGUACUGUCAGCGGGGAGGCGUUACCCGCAGAAGAAGCACCGGCUAACUCCGUGCCAGCAGCCGCGGUAAUAC
rnacentral:rRNA from 1 species